AUUGAACGCUGGCGGCAUGCCUUACACAUGCAAGUCGAACGGCAGCACGGGGCAACCUGGUGGCGAGUGGCGAACGGGUGAGUAAUGCAUCGGAACGUGCCAUUGAGUGGGGGAUAACGUAGCGAAAGUUGCGCUAAUACCGCAUAUUCUGUGAGCAGGAAAGCAGGGGACCGCAAGGCCUUGCGCUCUUUGAGCGGCCGAUGUCAGAUUAGCUAGUUGGUGAGGUAACGGCUUACCAAGGCGACGAUCUGUAGCGGGUCUGAGAGGAUGAUCCGCCACACUGGAACUGAGACACGGUCCAGACUCCUACGGAGGCAGCAGUGGGAAUUUUGGACAAUGGGCGCAAGCCUGAUCCAGCCAUGCCGCGUGAGUGAAGAAGGCCUCGG
rnacentral:rRNA from 1 species